CGCGAACGCUGGCGGCAGGCUUAACACAUGCAAGUCGAGCGCCCCGCAAGGGGAGCGGCAGACGGGUGAGUAACGCGUGGGAAUCUACCCAUCUCUACGGAAUAACGCAUGGAAACGUGUGCUAAUACCGUAUACGUCCUUCGGGAGAAAGAUUUAUCGGAGAUGGAUGAGCCCGCGUUGGAUUAGCUAGUUGGUGGGGUAAAGGCCUACCAAGGCGACGAUCCAUAGCUGGUCCGUGAGGAUGAUCAGGCACACUGGGACUGAGACACGGCCCAGACUCCUACGGGGGGCAGCAGUGGGGAAUAUUGGACAAUGGGCGCAAGCCUGAUCCAGCCAUGCCGCGUGAGUGAUGAAGGCCCUAGGGUUGUAAAGCUCUUUCACCGGUGAAGAUAAUGACGGUAACCGGAGAAGAAGCCCCGGCUAACUUCGUGCCAGCCGCCGCAGUAACAC
rnacentral:rRNA from 1 species